rnacentral:lncRNA from 10 species
CAGCUUUGGAGGCCAAGAUCACCGCGCCUGGUGUUGGUGUCCGGUGAGGGCUGCUCUCUGCUUCCAAGAUGGCGCCACGUUGCUGUGACCUCCGGAGGAGCCAAUGCAGUGUCCUCUCCUGGUGGAAGGCAGAAGGAAUGAGACCUGCAGACCAGAAUGGGAGAGAUGGGCAGAAACUCUAGAGCUGGAUGGAUCUUUUUGGAAAGAGGGAAGAGUUAACUC